rnacentral:rRNA from 1 species
AUUGAACGCUGGCGGCAGGCUUAACACAUGCAAGUCGAGCGAGCGGCGGACGGGUGAGUAAUGUCUGGGAAACUGCCUGAUGGAGGGGGAUAACUACUGGAAACGGUAGCUAAUACCGCAUACCCUCAGAUGUGCCCAAAUGGGAUUAGCUAGUAGGGGGGGUAAUGGCUCACCUAGGCGACGAUCCCUAGAUGGUCUGAGAGGAUGACCAGCCACACGGGAACUGAGACAGGGUCCAGAAGCCUACGGGAGGCAGCAGUGGGGAAUAUUGCACAAUGGGCGCAAGCCUGAUGCAGCCAUGCCGCGUGUGUGAAGAAGGCCUUCGGGUUGUAAAGCACUUUCAGCGAGGAGGCGUGACUCGCAGAAGAAGCACCGGCUAACUCCGGGCCAGCAGCCGCGGUAAUUC